rnacentral:rRNA from 1 species
UACCCGCGCCCCUAGUGGUGGUCGAUAUUAUUGAGCCUAAAACGUCCGUAGCCGGUCUUCUAAAUCCUUGGGUAAAUCGGGCAGCUUAACUGUCCGAAGUCCGGGGAGACUGGAAGACUUGGGACCGGGAGAGGUCAGAGGUACUUCUGGGGUAGGGGUAAAAUCCUGUAAUCCUGGAAGGACCACCGGUGGCGAAGGCGUCUGACUAGAACGGAUCCGACGGUGAGGGACGAAGCCCUGGGGGAGCGAACCGG